rnacentral:rRNA from 1 species
GUACACUCCUGCGGGAGGCAGCAGUGGGGAAUUUUGGACAAUGGGCGAAAGCCUGAUCCAGCAAUGCCGCGUGAGUGAAGAAGGCCUUCGGGUUGUAAAGCUCUUUUGUCAGGGAAGAAACGGUGAGAGCUAAUAUCUCUUGCUAAUGACGGUACCUGAAGAAUAAGCACCGGCUAACUACGUGCCAGCAGCCGCGGUAAUACGUAGGGUGCAAGCGUUAAUCGGAAUUACUGGGCGUAAAGCGUGCGCAGGCGGUUUUGUAAGUCUGAUGUGAAAUCCCCGGGCUCAACCUGGGAAUUGCAUUGGAGACUGCAAGGCUAGAAUCUGGCAGAGGGGGGUAGAAUUCCACGUGUAGCAGUGAAAUGCGUAGAUAUGUGGAGGAACACCGAUGGCGAAGGCAGCCCCCUGGGUCAAGAUUGACGCUCAUGCACGAAAGCGUGGGGAGCAAACAGGAUUAGAAACCCGAGUAGUCCCA